ensembl:misc_RNA 7SK 7SK RNA
GAAUGUGCGGGUGAUCUAGCUGUGAGAUCAAGCACCCCAUGGAUUAUCAAAGUUGAUUUAGUUAACUUGACUGGCUAGGCAAGUGUCUCCUUCCUCCAUCACUGCUUCCAUGUGCAUUCCUCUCAAAUAUGUGUGCUUGGUGGCAGAGAACAACCAUCCAGAAGCAAUCAUACUAUUCUUUGCUCAGGGGUAUAUAAUAGCUAUGCUGCCUGCUAGAAUAUCUGGAUAAUAGCAGACAUACCCACACACACCCAUUUCAGAAUGCUUUCCCCAGCAAGAAUUCCUGCUGUU